UCUCCUGGAAACGGGUGGUAAUGCCGGAUGCUCCCGACUCCUCGCAUGGGGUGUCGGGAAAGAUUUCAUCGGUAUGGGAUGGGGUCGCGUCCUAUCAGGUAGUCGGCGGGGUAACGGCCCACCGAGCCUACGACGGGUAGCCGGCCUGAGAGGGCGACCGGCCACAUUGGGACUGAGAUACGGCCCAGACUCCUACGGGAGGCAGCAGUGGGGAAUAUUGCACAAUGGGCGCAAGCCUGAUGCAGCGACGCCGCGUGCGGGAUGACGGCCUUCGGGUUGUAAACCGCUUUUGAUCGGGAGCAAGCCUUCGGGUGAGUGUACCUUUCGAAUAAGCACCGGCUAACUACGUGCCAGCAGCCGCGGUAAUACGUAGGGUGCAAGCGUUAUCCGGAAUUAUUGGGCGUAAAGGGCUCGUAGGCGGUUCGUCGCGUCCGGUGUGAAAGUCCAUCGCUUAACGGUGGAUCUGCGCCGGGUACGGGCGGGCUGGAGUGCGGUAGGGGAGACUGGAAUUCCCGGUGUAACGGUGGAAUGUGUAGAUAUCGGGAAAGAACACCA
rnacentral:rRNA from 1 species